GGUUUUCACCACGUGUUGUAGAUAGUUCAGGAGGGUAACUCGACCAAGCAGUCUACUUUCAGAUUUUGUAUCUUUGAGGUUCAUAAUUGUCUCUGUGGGAUUGGCAGCACUUUCAAUAACAGCUGUGACAGUCAACAUGUGGACAAAAACUAAAGGGAAGAAAACACAGAUGGAUAAAAACACAGUAAGUACAAAACUCAGUAAUCCAACGUAACAAAAACUUCUAAAUGUUGUAUUUCUGAUACUGUAAACGACAUUUCAGAAAUUAUUUUGAAUUUGUUGAGCAAAAUGUGGUUCAGCAGACGACUGAGAGUCAGAAGUUUAUAAGUGAAAGGUUGUUGGUUUGAACCCCACAUGUGAGGGUUUGCUUUGGGAAAGUGGAUCAUUGAUGCUGUCAUCUGCCUUUAAAUUAUCACUGAAA